GACGAACGCUGGCGGCGUGCUAAACACAUGCAAGUCGAACGGAAAGGCCCUGCUUUUGUGGGGUGCUCGAGUGGCGAACGGGUGAGUAACACGUGAGUAACCUGCCCUUGACUUUGGGAUAACUUCAGGAAACUGGGUCUAAUACCGGAUAGGAGCUCCUGCUGCAUGGUGGGGGUUGGAAAGUUUCGGCGGUUGGGGCUGGACUCGCGGCUUAUCAGCUUGUUGGUGGGGUAGUGGCUUACCAAGGCUUUGACGGGUGGCCGGCCUGAGAGGGGGACCGGCCACAUUGGGACUGAGAUACGGCCCAGACUCCUACGGGAGGCAGCAGUGGGGAAUAUUGCACAAUGGGCGGAAGCCUGAUGCAGCAACGCCGCGUGCGGGAUGACGGCCUUCGGGUUGUAAACCGCUUUCGCCUGUGACGAAGCGUGAGUGACGGUAAUGGGUAAAGAAGCACCGGCUAACUACGUG
rnacentral:rRNA from 1 species